rnacentral:piRNA from 2 species
UCUCUGCUACUCUUUUCUCUGGUGCUGCAGC